rnacentral:rRNA from 1 species
AGAGUUUGAUUCUGGCUCAGAACGAACGCUGGCGGCGUGGAUAAGACAUGCAAGUCGUGCGACAGACCAGGAAUUGAUUACUUCGGUUUGAUUUUCCUGACGAUGAGCGGCGAACGGGUGCGUAACACGUGAGAAACCUGCCUUAAAGUUCGGGAUAGCUCGGCGAAAGUCGAAUUAAUACCGGAUGUGGCCUUAGGAUAGCAUUUUCCUAAGAUUAAAGCUCGGUCAUAGAGCGCUUUUAGAUGGUCUCGCGGUCUAUCAGCUUGUUGGUGAGGUAACGGCUCACCAAGGCUACGACGGAUAACUGAUCUGAGAGGAUGAUCAGUCACACUGGAACUGAGACACGGUCCAGACACCUACGGGUGGCAGCAGUCGAGAAUCAUUCACAAUGGGCGAAAGCCUGAUGGUGCGACGCCGCGUGGGGGAUGAAGGGCUUCGGUCUGUAAACCCCUGUCAUCUGUGAGUAAGGUCUCGUAUAAAAGCUACGAGAAUUGAUAUUAACAGAAGAGGAAGGGACGGCUAACUCUGUGCCAGCAGCCGCGGUAAUACAGAGGUCCCAAGCGUUGUUCGGAUUUACUGGGCGUAAAGAGUGCGUAGGCGGUCGAAAAAGUUUGGUGUGAAAUCUUCGGGCUUAACCCGAAAACUGCAUUGAAAACUAUUUGACUAGAGGAUAGGAGAGGAGAUUGGAAUUCUCAGUGUAGCAGUGAAAUGCGUAGAUAUUGAGAGGAACACCAGUUGCGAAGGCGGAUCUCUGGACGAUUCCUGACGCUGAGGCACGAAAGCUGGGGGAGCGAAGAGGAUUAGAUACCCUCGUAGUCCCAGCCGUAAACGGUGCUCACUUGCUGUGGGCGGAUUCGACCCCGUCCGUGGCGAAGCUAACGCGUUAAGUGAGCCGCCUGGGGAGUACGGUCGCAAGAUUAAAACUCAAAGAAAUUGACG